rnacentral:rRNA from 1 species
UACGUAGGGGGCGAGCGUUGUCCGGAUUUAUUGGGCGUAAAGCGCAUGCAGGCGGUCCUGUAAGUUUGGAGUGACAGUUUCCGGCUCAACCGGGAAAGUGCUUUGAAAACUGCAGGACUUGAGGGCUUCAGAGGGACACGGAAUUCCGGGUGGAGUGGUGAAAUGCGUAGAUAUCCGGAGGAACACCGAAGGCGAAGGCAGUGUCCUGGGGAGUACCUGACGCUCAGAUGCGAAAGCCAGGGGAGCGAACGGG